rnacentral:rRNA from 1 species
GACGAACGCUGGCGGCGUGCUUAACACAUGCAAGUCGAACGGUGAAGCGCCUUCCUUUUUGGUGGGUGUGGAUGAGUGGCGAACGGGUGAGUAACACGUGAGUAACCUGCCCCCUUCUUCUGGAUAACCGCAUGAAAGUGUGGCUAAUACGGGAUAUUCUGGGUCUGUCGCAUGAUGGGUCUGGGAAAGAUAUUGUUUCGGUGGGGAUGGGCUCGCGGCCUAUCAGCUUGUUGGUGGGGUGAUGGCCUACCAAGGCGGUGACGGGUAGCCGGCCUGAGAGGGUGGACGGUCACACUGGGACUGAGACACGGCCCAGACUCCUACGGGAGGCAGCAGUGGGGAAUAUUGCACAAUGGGCGCAAGCCUGAUGCAGCGACGCCGCGUGAGGGAUGGAGGCCUUCGGGUUGUGAACCUCUUUCGCAAGUGAAGCAGGCCUGCCUCGUUUGUGGGUGGGUUGACGGUAGCUGGAUAAGAAGCGCCGGCUAACUACGUG